rnacentral:lncRNA from 1 species
AUAUUGAAUAGAGGCAAACGAUCAUGAUGUAUUCAACAACUUUGCUGACUUAAGCCUAAGUCAUGGAGCCACCAAUGGCAUAACAACGCCUCUCAGAGUUGCACUGCCACCCAAGCCCGAGCUUUCUACAGCGGGUCAACGGGUAUUGAGUUAUGCUACUGCAGUAUACGACUAUGCAGCAACAGCCACAUCACAGAUCAGCUUAAAAGCAGGAGAACGUGUUGCCGUGUUGAGUAAGACAGGCAGUGAUAAAGGCUGGUGGAAAGGCGAACAUUGCGCAACACACAGAGUGGGGUAUUUCCCGUUCGCCUAUGUGAGAGAAGAAGAUGAGGAAUGAUAAUAAAUACACCACCCGAUAGUUCACCCUACAGUAAACAGUUCACUGGACAGCCAUAUAAACUGAUUUCCAUGAAAUUUGGACUUGUUUCACCAAGUUGUGUGAAUAAAUUAUCCAUCUUGUGGCCAUACAGACAUACUUAACUUGUUAUGUGCACUGCGCUUCCACUGUAGAGCAGACACUGUUGAGAAAAGUGAAACUUGUGUGUUACUUUUAUAAUGAAGUUGGGUUGGUUGGAAAGAAAAUACCUGAUUUUAUAUAGAGAUGUCUACUGUUUAGAGGUGUCAUAACAGAAGUUAUAUCAAAUAUUAAACUGAUAAAUUCUGAUAUUCUGAUUCAAUCAAUUUGACUGGCAUGGAAAAGAGAAGAGAAAUAUUCAACAUAGGCUUGGUCAUAAAGAAACUUGUAUGUUAUUUCUACACUGAUACAUCAAAAGCUGGAUUGUGAAAUCACGAAGAGCUCUUGUUUAUUUUGCUUGGCCUUCAGAUAAGACAGUAUGAUAAAAUAAAUUGUAACCUGAGAUUUUUACAUGAUCAUAUUGAAUGCUAAGGUCAUUUUGUAUCGGAGACUAUAAUAUACUGUCGGUAUGUCAUUAAACUUGAAACCAAGAAAAGUAUCCAAGAAAUAUUCAUGUUUUAUAAGAACGAUGACAUGAUGUGUAUAAAUAUCAACAUUUAUAAUUCCUGUAUGGUGUUAAAUUAAGAAAUGCUUUGGACUACUUUUUCUCAGCCCUCAAGCUUAGAGAUCAUUACGAUGAAAAUACUGCAAGUUCCUUGUUCAGUUGUCAACAGAACUGAUAAAACAUUUUAGUCUUCCUUCGUGUGUCAGUUUGAGGUGGAGAA